rnacentral:rRNA from 1 species
GAUGAACGCUAGCGGCAGGCCUAAUACAUGCAAGUCGAACGAGAUCAGUUCUUUCGGGAACUGGUUUAGUGGCGCACGGGUGCGUAACGCGUAUGCAACCUACCUUAAACUGGGGGAUAGCCCGAGGAAACUCGGAUUAAUACCGCAUAAUACUAUUUGAUGGCAUCUGAAGAUAGUUAAAGAUUUAUUGGUUUAAGAUGGGCAUGCGUGCCAUUAGCUAGUUGGAGAGGUAACGGCUCACCAAGGCGACGAUGGCUAGGGGUUCUGAGAGGAUGAUCCCCCACACUGGUACUGAGAUACGGACCAGACUCCUACGGGAGGCAGCAGUAGGGAAUAUUGGGCAAUGGACGGAAGUCUGACCCAGCCAUGCCGCGUGCAGGAAGACGGCCUUCUGGGUUGUAAACUGCUUUUUAUAUAGGAAGAAAACACCCAUGCGUGGGAAACUGACGGUACUAUAUGAAUAAGCACCGGCUAACUCCGUGCCAGCAGCCGCGGUAAUAC